UUCUUCGGAUUGAAGCAACUGUGACUGAGCGGCGGACGGGUGAGUAACGCGUGGGUAACCUACCUCAUACAGGGGGAUAACAGUUGGAAACGGCUGCUAAUACCGCAUAAGCGCACAGUACCGCAUGGUACCGUGUGAAAAACUCCGGUGGUAUGAGAUGGACCCGCGUCUGAUUAGCUAGUUGGUGGGGUAACGGCCUACCAAGGCGACGAUCAGUAGCCGACCUGAGAGGGUGACCGGCCACAUUGGGACUGAGACACGGCCCAAACUCCUACGGGAGGCAGCAGUGGGGAAUAUUGCACAAUGGGGGAAACCCUGAUGCAGCGACGCCGCGUGAGCGAUGAAGUAUUUCGGUAUGUAAAGCUCUAUCAGCAGGGAAGAAAAUGACGGUACCUGACUAAGAAGCCCCGGCUAACUACGUGCCAGCAGCCGCGGUAAUACGUAGGGGGCAAGCGUUAUCCGGAUUUACUGGGUGUAAAGGGAGCGUAGACGGCAUGGCAAGCCAGAUGUGAAAGCCCGGGGCUCAACCCCGGGACUGCAUUUGGAACUGUCAGGCUAGAGUGUCGGAGAGGAAAGCGGAAUUCCUAGUGUAGCGGUGAAAUGCGUAGAUAUUAGGAGGAACACCAGUGGCGAAGGCGG
rnacentral:rRNA from 1 species